rnacentral:rRNA from 1 species
UACGUAGGGGGCAAACGUUAUCCGGAUUUACUGGGUGUAAAGGGGGCGCAGACGGCGAUGCAAGCCAGGAGUGAAAGCCCGGGGCCCAACCCCGGGACUGCUCUCGGAACUGCGUGGCUGGAGUGCAGGAGGGGCAGGCGGAAUUCCUGGUGUAGCGGUGAAAUGCGUAGAUAUCAGGAGGAACACCGGUGGCGAAGGCGGCCUGCUGGACUGCAACUGACGUUGAGGCCCGAAAGCGUGGGGAGCAAACAGG